rnacentral:rRNA from 1 species
ACUCCUACGGGAGGCAGCAGUGGGGAAUAUUGCACAAUGGGCGCAAGCCUGAUGCAGCCAUGCCGCGUGUAUGAAGAAGGCCUUCGGGUUGUAAAGUACUUUCAGCGGGGAGGAAGGCAAUACGGUUAAUAACCGUGUUGAUUGACGUUACCCGCAGAAGAAGCACCGGCUAACUCCGUGCCAGCAGCCGCGGUAAUACGGAGGGUGCAAGCGUUAAUCGGAAUUACUGGGCGUAAAGCGCACGCAGGCGGUCUGUCAAGUCGGAUGUGAAAUCCCCGGGCUCAACCUGGGAACUGCAUUCGAAACUGGCAGGCUUGAGUCUUGUAGAGGGGGAUAGAAUUCCAGGUGUAGCGGUGAAAUGCGUAGAGAUCUGGAGGAAUACCGGUGGCGAAGGCGGCCCCCUGGACAAAGACUGACGCUCAGGUGCGAAAGCGUGGGGAGCAAACAGGAUUAGAAACCCGUGUAGUCCCAU